ensembl:lncRNA
CAAAUGUUUGUGAUCUUGAAGCAUUUUUGUAAGUAUUGCUAAAGGAAAAGGGAUAAAUUGUGUCUUAACUAUUUGGAUAAAUGUAGCAUAAUAGCAGGCAUCUAUAACAUACAUAUAAUAUUUUAUAUUAAUACAAAAGCAAUGUUUAAGUAAUGUUGGAGUUAAAGUUAUAAAUACACUAUGUCUGAAAUAAAAGGGGUGUGACUUUGUGGGUUGGGGUGUAUUUGAGGUGUGUGAGAGUAUUGUAAAUGGGCUUUCAGGGAUAAGUUUGUCAAAGUUAAUUGGUGGUGGUGUUGUCCAUUGCAUUUGGUUGCAGUUGAAGUGUGCAUCACAAUCGUGUACAAGGUAAAUAUGUUGUGUAAUUUUUGAAUGAGUGUAAAGGAUUUGUUUAUUUGCUGAUUUUGUCGUGAGAUACUUAUGAAUGCAUUAUAUGUGUUAUGUUGUUGCAGGAAAAUGGCUUUUAGAAGUCCGUCCAAAAUUCCACGUGUGGAAGGAGAAGAGUUUGUGUUAUUGAGAGACCAGUUUUGCUUAUUAGCUGUAAGUAUUAUGCAUUUUAUAUUCUGUAAAUAAAUUGGUGUAGUCUUAAGUGUGGUACAAGGGCAUGUAUUAACGAAUGUUAAGUAAAUUGUGUUAUUUUUUGUAGUAUUCAGUGUUGGAUGAGGGUGUUACGAGACAAGGAGUUCAUCGGGAGCUGACAGAGCUCGGAAUAAAAGUAAUGAGGAAAUUUGCUGGGUUGGAUGCUCAGAAAAAAUUUCUACGGAAAGAGUUGGCUGAGGUACGCAGGAAUUUGGAGAAGUUGAAAGGAGACCUAGAAGUCACAAAGGCUGCACUGGAUUUUGUAAAAGAUGAUUAUUUUGACCUUGAGGGAGAGGAUGGUGCUCAGACUGAGAAGCAAGGAAUAGGAGAGAGUGCUGUGUUAGUGGAAGAAGAGUUGGCUGAAGUGGUUUAAAGCAGCUGAAGAAUUGAUGUAUAUACUGUAACUGUUGUAUAUA